AACUGUAAAUACUAUCAGACCUAGUUAAACUAGUGGAUUUUACCAACAAUUUUGAUUUCAAUGAUACUUCACUCAAUAGUAUCAAAAGUUUGGCUCAGACAAACAUUGCAGAAAUGAGCCUUGUAUUUAUCUCUAUGUUCCAUCUCUCAUAUAUUCCAGUUCCCUCUCUCCUUUGUAGCAAGCAACUGUUUCUUGUUACAUAUAUGCAGAUGAACUGUGCUUUGUGCAAAUAAUUGCUUACAAACCCUAACCCUAAACAUCUGGAAGGCCAUUGUCAUUGUCAUCCAUCCCUGUUUUAAAUAACUUAUUUGAACUGAUUUGUGGCAUUGAAGGUAUUUGAUGAUGCAUAUGAGGGCUUUUGUGAGUAUGAGCAUGAAUUGUCAUGGUGAAGUUACAAACAAUAAUUGCUCAAUAUGCUAGGCUCAUGGUGCAUAUAAUUAAAAGGCCCAUCCCUUCUGGAACAGGAGGAACAAGUUUUAAUGAAAACUAAAUUAGAAGUGAAGUGAAUACAUAUUUUUAAAAGCUGAGAUCAUGAGUUGGGUGGUGUUUACAUUUCAAGUAAAAAAGCCAUUGUUCUGCAUGUAACUUGGGGAGACUGCCAUCUACUUGAUUAAAAAGCCUGAUAGUGGAAAUCAGAUUCAUCGCCUGGGAUUUAGCACAACGAGAUAGUUUCCAAAGAUAGGGCUACAUUGUUCCAAACUGUUUCUUUGCUUGCAGGCUGAACAAAAAUAAAAGGAAACGAAAUACAAAUAAAGCUUUGCAUUCUUUAAGAAUUAUUCAGCAAUUUUCUUCUUGUCCAUAAUGCAAAAAAUUAUAAAUGUUUUGAUUUACUUAAGGGAGGAUUCUGCAUUCAUUUCUUGUUAACAAGUUGUGCAUGGGGAUUAUGAAGUCUUUAUUUGGAAAAAAGAUAAUAAAUAUGUCACACACAAUUACUGUCUUCCAUAGGCAUCAUUACCAUAGUCAAACCCUAUCUGAACAUCUGGCCUUCCAGAUGUUUUGGGAUUACAACUCCAAGAGUUCAUUAGUAUUUGCGAUGCUGAUAGAAUGAAGAGGAAUUGUAGAAUCAAACAUCUGGUGUUUCCCACACUGAAAUGAGACAUAGUCUAUCUACAAUUUACCUUGGUGGUAUCCAAGUAAUUAUGAAAAAGGGUGUAGUGGUUUCAGUGUUGGACAACAGCUCUAGAGAAAAGAGUUAUGUUUACUGCUCAGCCAUGAAACCCACUGGAUGGUCUUAGGCAAGUCACCAUUUCUCAGCUUCAAAGGAAGGCAAUGGCAAACCUCCUCUCAACAACUCUUACCAAAGAUCACCGUAAGUCGGAAACUACUUGAAGGUCCACAACGACAACAACCAGCUGAUGCAGAAUUCAGAUUUUCCAUAUAAUUUAAACUGUUGUAGGAAGCUUGGGUACCUUUUAAGAUGGUACAAAUGCAUAAUGGAUUAUGUUUUUCCCUGAGUUCUUCCUGUAAUGUUAUUUUUCAAAAGUUUUAAUACCUGUAGGCCUAUAUGGAUUAUGUUGGUGACACUAGCUCUUAAUGUUAAAUCAUUGUCUGAUAACCUAGAUGUGUUUAUAUUUUAUUUUAUAUUCUCAAUAAAAUUACAUUAGACAAUCUUAAGAAAGAUAAAUACACACACAAUAUUUCACACUGUUGAAAGUAUCAGACUGCAAAAAAAAAUUGCUUUUCUGGAUAUUCUCAGAAAGCAUUGCUGCUUCUGAUUAAAAUAAUCAUGGUUAAACUAGAUCUACCUUCCCAAGACAGAUUUAUCUAUAAUCUUGGCAAAUGUGUGUUCUGAAACCAUUUACCAUCAGCCUUCUGGUGCUUGCAGAUUCUUCUGUGUAAAUAUUACGUAAGGCCUGUCAGCCAAUUCUUUGUAAAUCCACACCUGCACUGGAACACUAUGUGUCCUUUGUAAUGACUACAUCUCUCAUCACACUGUGUUAGUUAGUUUAAUGUAUUCUGUGCAUGGCUGGAAUGUUAGAGUUUGGGAAAUCAUGGGAAUGGUAAAACUGACUAUUCCCUGAAAAUUGCCAAAUCCUAAUAAUUCAGUAUUACAUCAGAGAAUGUUGUGAAGGUGGCCAUUUUGAAACAAGCUUUUAAAAAUUGUUAAUGACUAAUUUCAGAUACGUUUCAGGCACAUCCUUCUUCCAAACCCUAAUAAUGUUUAGGUUACUGUAUUAAUCUUAUACAUUUCUGGUUUCUUUCUUUUCUCUAACUUUUCUUUAACAAAGUGCAAACUUGGCCUCUUACAAUCCCAGAAACUACUAUUCCAAAUGCCUUCCCAGGCCUUCUGUCCCAAAUAUAUAUUUGUGAAUACAAUUUAGUGUGAAACUCUUAACCUGAUGCAGACUUACAGUAAGACAUCAUUUCACCAGCAUUCAGAAGCAUUCAGAUAAUUUAUCACAAGGAAGAAGUUGUUACAGGAAUGGUCUCUCACCAUGCAGCUUGCUAUCAGAAAGUCCAGAUUAAUUUCAUUAAGGAAAUAUAUUUUGCUGAGGUGAGAGUAAUUGAGAUGUAAUGGUUUGAACACAGGACUAUGACCCUGAAUACCUGGGUUUGAAUCCCUGCUCAGUCAUGGAAGCUCACUGGGUGACAAUUUUUCAGCCUCAAAGGAAGACAAAAGCAAACCCCUCUGACCAAAUCUUGCCAUAAAAACCCUGUGACAGGUUCACCUUAGGGUCACCUUAAGUCAGAAAUGGCACACAAAACAACUUUGCCAAAGGCAAAGCAUCCUUUUGAAAACAUGCUGGUCUUGUUUGUUUUUAUGUGCCUGAGGGAAUGGGAGAGCGUAAAGCAACAAGAUCAGUGCUAAUGCACAUUCAGUAAUGGAGUUUAUUAUAUUUUGCAUAUCCAUCUUUGCUCUCUCUUCUCAUAUCCUGCCUAUGACCUGGAUUCCACUUGCUAGGAUCUGUCCCAUCUAUUGUUUGUUGCUGUCUCUUAUCCCUCAGUGCCCUCUGUGGUGUUGGUCCCCGCCUUCAGAUGCCUACUGAAAAUCUGCCUUUACAAUUAAAUUUGGGCCUCAGCCUAUAAUACUUAGCCCCAAACAAAACGAGGCCCAACAUUUGAUCUCUUCCAUCCCUUUUAAACAUUUGCCUCAUUUCGCCUGUACCCUCCUGACUCCAUUCAUGCAUACUGUUGGUCAUGUAAAAGCCAUAUCACUGAGGCAUGCCCUUCUAUUGUGCAUCAGAAUAUUACUGCCCCUCAAAAGGAGCCAAUGGUUACUUUUUGCAGAACAGUUUACUUGAUACAUUCUCUGUUUUUCUCCUCAAACCAGGUCAGUUGUUUAUAUUAAGUGUGAGAAUUGAAUAAAUAGUAUUAAUUCAGGA